rnacentral:tRNA from 1 species
GGGCAUUUAGCUCAGUGGUAGAGCGCUUGCCUAGCAAGCACAAGGUCCUGGGUUCGAUCCCCAGCUCA